GUUAAGAAAGAGUGGGAAUCCGAUUGGGCUGCAGUGAUUCACUUUCUCUUUUACUGAUGGGUGGACAGGCAGGUGAGUUCUUAGGAUGAAUUCAGGAGGCAGCGAGGGAGACAGACUUGGAGUCAACAUGACUGGAACAAGAGGACAACAAGGAAAUCCACUCUUCUAAAUACUGCCUCCUGAUUGCAGCAAAGUGGCAUCAGCUGGGAGCUCACCGUGCGAAAACACACCCUGAGGAGGAGAAAGGUGCACAGUUGUUGUUUCUCAGAAGACACAAGUGGACACUACAAUGCAAGAACAUCUCUGUGUGGUUGGUAAAGGUGAACAUCCUGAAGGAGAAACGUGCCACAGUGGAGACACCAUUUUGAAUCGCCUCUACUGUUCCAUCUUCUGGAUUAGGACACCUGAGUGACAAAACAGAUGCAGGAGUAAGAAUUUCAGCCAGCUGGGAGAAAAUUAACCAUUUAGAGUUAUAAAAGUCAACAAGAUUUUCUCUAUUACUGUGAAACAAUGAGAUUCCAGCGAACAGGGUAGUUGGCCUGAUUGACUGGCGUGCCCCAGCAAGAGUCAAGAACGGUGGCAAACUGGCGCUGAUCCACUCCUUCUGUUCUCACUUCCACAUAAAACAUUUCAUCAACUUCCAUUUCUAUGUUUCUGUUAGUACUAAGGGGAUAGCGGAAGUCUUCAUCCUCGUAGGGGAUCAUUCUCAUACGAUAAGAUCCGAUGCCAAUAGGAAGCUUCUUCCUCAAAAUGCUACAAAAUAAACAUUGUUUGUGAGCAUCCAGUUUUAUUCUUUUGAUACUCAUAAUGACACUGCAAACACAAUCAUCACCUUUCUAGAGGGUUGAUGCCUACAGACAUUGACAGUGCCUGAGCCAGAGGGUAAAUACAGCAGAACUGCAGAUGAAGGUUCCUCUGACGACUGAUUAGACCUUCAUGAGGAUCCACGUUCCCCUGAAUGGUGUUCUCGUACAUGAAAGCUGUCCCACACAAAUGGUUGUCAUUGUCAAAGUGGAAGAUCAGUCGUCCGUCCUGCAGAGUCCCAUUGCAGGAGGAAUCUCGUAGGUGGAGAGCAGUUGGAUGGAAGCCAGCUUCAAACAGUUGACAGCGAGAUAUUGACAUGGUGCCUGAACUGCUGGCACAUUGGAUGCUCGAGUCUGCUUACCAGAAAGACAACAGAAGUUCGAUUGCAAAUCCUCCCUCUUCAAGUUGGCAAUCCAUUGACGGACUCGUGGAUAAUGAAUCAGAAAGGUGGCGCCCUGUCCUCGUUGGUCCUCCUGCACAGCUGCGGCUCAUUGGUUCAUCAAAGGGGAGUAUUUGAGCCGUUGACUGCCACUACCUCGACGCCAGAGUGUUUGCCAGUUUUGGGUAGUCUUCCCGCUGACUGGAAGGUUUGGCCUUCUCCCCCGGGAAGGAUAUUUUUUUGUUCACACUGAGCUAGGGAAAAGUUCCACACAAUCCAUUGAAGUACCAUCAGAAAUCUAAGUGGCAGUCCGCUCUCAUACUCCUCAGGGUCCAACUCCACCAAACUGU